UACGAGGGGGCGACGCGUUGUUCGGAAUUAUUGGGCGUAAAGGGUGCGUAGGCGGUUUGUAAGUCUUAUGUGAAAUCUAUGGGGCUCAACCAUCAUAGUACUGCAUGAGAAACUGCAGGCUUGAGUAUGGGAGAGGUGAGUGGAAUUCCUGGUGAUAGCGGUGAAAUGCGUAGAUAUCUGGAGGAAUACCGGUGGCGAAGGCGGCAUCCUGGACCGGCAUUGACGCG
rnacentral:rRNA from 1 species